rnacentral:rRNA from 1 species
GUUCGGGAACCACCUGAUCCCAUGCCGAACUCAGCAGUGAAACCGCUCAGCGCCGAUGGUAGUGUGGGGUCUCCCCAUGCGAGAGUAGGUCAUCGUCAGGC